GUCUUUCUCCUCGUGUUCACUGUUGGCCUUGAUGUGUCGAAAUGUGGAUCAUAAGGCACGCGGUGAAUGCCAAGAGCGGACUG
rnacentral:pre_miRNA from 1 species